rnacentral:rRNA from 11 species
GACAGUAACCUUGAAUACCCUAAUGGCACUAGAUCCUGUCUGAUGUUAAAAGCCAAGCAGAGUCAGCCCUGGAUAGUACUUGGAUGGGAAACUGGCAAUGAAUAUCAGAUGCUGUAGGCU